UUAGUGCUGCAGCUAACGCAUUAAGCACUCCGCCUGGGGAGUACGGUCGCAAGACUGAAACUCAAAGGAAUUGACGGGGGCCCGCACAAGCGGUGGAGCAUGUGGUUUAAUUUGAAGCAACGCGAAGAACCUUACCAGGUCUUGACAUCCUCUGACAAUCCUAGAGAUAGGACGUCCCCUUCGGGGGCAGAGUGACAGGUGGUGCAUGGUUGUCGUCAGCUCGUGUCGUGAGAUGUUGGGUUAAGUCCCGCAACGAGCGCAACCCUUGAUUUUAGUUGCCAGCAUUCAGUUGGGCACUUUAAGGUGACUGCCGGUGACAAACCGGAGGAAGGUGGGGAUGACGUCAAAUCAUCAUGCCCCUUAUGACCUGGGCUACACACGUGCUACAAUGGGCAGAACAAAGGGCAGGGAAACCGCGAGGUUAAGCCAAUCCCACAAAUUUGUUUUCAGUUCGGAUCGCAGUUUGCAACUUGACUGCGUGAAGCUGGAAUCGCUAGUAAUCGCGGAUCAGCAUGCCGCGGUGAAUACGUUCCCGGGCCUUGUACACACCGCCCGUCACACCACGAGAGUUUGUAACACCCGAAGUCGGUGAGGUAACCUUUAAGGAGCCAGCCGCCGAAGGUGGGACAGAUGAUGGGGGUGAAGUCGUAACAAGGUAGCCGUU
rnacentral:rRNA from 1 species